rnacentral:lncRNA from 1 species
CUUGGAGAGAAAGUGUCGCCUAGAGUAACUUCGAGCUUCGUUUUGUCGUUUGCAUGAGUCCUUACUCGCGGUACGUCAGCGAUAUUUGUUGCACCGCCUUAUAAUGUUUGUGAGGGUGUGCGUGAUUGCAUCGAGGGCAUGAGUAGACUUUUUUUUUUUUAGCAAACUGUUGAACUUGCAGUGCGUUCUGAUUCUCUGAAAGCAUGAUUUGAGACGCACUGAGGCCGUUCGGGGUGAUGGCUGAGCACUUUUUUUGAGAGGACAGAAAAUGUAAUUUCCUCUUGCUCCUACUGGUGACUUUCAGAGACAUUAUAAGCCUCAGGAGGCAUUAUACGCCACUUGGCUGAGCCACUUAAUUCUUGACUCUUGAGUGCCAUCAGUAAUCGUUGUGUCUAAUAGUCACCAAACUGACCGAACACCUGGAGCCUAGAACAUUCGGCACAGCACGUAGACUUUGCUAGGCCCCGUGGGCAGUGCACCGUAUGCAUGGAGAAAUAGAAGCAAGCCACAGAGGUCUAAAACAUUCUCAAAGAGGUUCAGGAUUUUUUGAUGCCUCAUUCACUUGGGAACCUGUCAAAAAGCAGAUUCGUAGGUCUUGAACUAAAUCCACUGAAUGACACGUUUCAACUAAGUAUUUAAAUUUGAGAAACUUCCUCUUUGAAAGCAGUGCCAGCGUUCUAAGGUUAAGAAAUGAUACUGUGCAGGGGGGGGCUGGGUGGCUCAGUGGGUCGUGCAUGGGACUUCAGAUCAGGUCAUGAUGUCAGGGUUUGUGAGUUCGAGCCCCGCAUCCAGCUCUGUGCUGACAGUGCAGAGCCUGCUUCGAAUCCUCUGUCUCCCUGUGUGUGUCUCUCUCCCCCCCCACCCCCCCCCACUGCUUGUGCUCUCUCUCUCGCUCCUUUUCAAAAAUAAAUAAAUAAACAUAAAAAAAAAAAGAGCCAGUCACAGAAGCAGGUGAGAGGAGAGUAUAUACAGUAGACUGUCUCUUGCUAAAGGGUAAAUGCCAAACUACCAAGUUACUUGGAGGACACUUCAAUACAGUGGUGCAUAUUUUUAUCAUCUCUAACAUCUUUCCUGAUCUGUUUUUGCCCUGAGACUUUCACAGUAUCUUAACUUGCCUCUCCACUUUCCCCAUUGACUCCUAAUUAAACUGCCAUCAGUGCUUACAGUCCACCACUGGACUAGGCACUUUUCAGAAACCGCCAAAAACCAUAGUCCGUAUUUCUGUAUCCCCUGCCUGGCACACCGUUUGGGGGCUAGGACAUUUUAAUUUAAUAACUACUUAACAACGUCCAUAUGUAUUCAGUGAAUAUGGGGGGAGAAAGCAGGUAAAAUAGAACUAGUUAAUGAACAACUUUGCAAGCUGGAAAUUUGUCCUUUAGGAAACCAUUCUAGGUUCUCUGUGAGAACAGUGACAUUAAAUAAUCAGAAGCCGGGUUCUGUGGAGUAUACACCAUGACAUUAACCAUGGAGGGGAGUCCUUAGGACUGACACUGAAGGGAGCAUUCGGUGCCUCGUCUUAGUGGUGGCUGUGGAAAAGGAAUGAGCUGAAUCUUCCUGCAGAAAAAUCCCUGGGAUUUGUCGGCUACUGGCUUGGGACCAAAAGAGAGGCAUCUGUUAGUUAUGUAACUCCAAGGCUGGAAUAAGGAAACGAAUGAUACUGGGAGAGCAGUAGACAAGUUGGGAAGGAAUGUUGCUUUGGGGAGGGGUGUGAACAGAGGAUGUGAGUUUCUCCUUGACACGUUAAGCUCGAUGUGGCAUCUUUGCUUAGUUCUGAAGGCAGCUGGGCAUACCAGGCUGAAGCAGGUGGAGGGAUCUCAAGGUUGGAGAUUUGGGAAGCUUUGGCCCACAGACAGGAGCUAAAGCCAGGAGUCAGAGAAAGCCUGCCGAGGGAGGGUGUGGAGCCAAAGAAAGAUAGAAGAGAUCCAAAGGGCACAGUGCCCUGGAAGCCGGAGGAGGAUAUGAUUCCAAAGGACAGACAUCUCUGCUUACAUUACUCAAAAAUGAUGCAAAUCCCAAAGGCCCUGAGAGAGUCUGGCCCAUAAUGAGUUCGGUUCUUUUUUUCUUUCUUUCUUUUUUUUUAAAUCCCCUUGGUCUUUUGGUUUGUAUUGUUGCCAGGAAUAAAAUCAGCAGCCAAAAGAUUCGGAGGAAGGACAGCUGAAAGUCAGGAAUAAUUGCGUCAUAAUUAUAGGAUCGCAUACAACAUACAUAAGUGUUUUUCUGGUUUACACGUGGGCUUUUGGUAACACGGUUACCAUACAGACCCCCGUGCCCUCGCAAAUCCUCUGUUUCACCUUCUGCCUGUGCUCCUUUCUGCCCCUUUUUUCUGAGAGGACUGAUUCUGCCACCCCCUUCUUUAGACUUGAUCUAAGUGUGGUAGCCUCUCCGGGACCACUCCUUCUGUUCCCCUUUGGCAAACACCCUUCCAUCCCCUCUGCUAGUGCUCCCCUUUUGAAGCCCAAUUUGGGCUGGUAGGAACUGGGCUUUAUCCGUCUCUAUCAGUCCCCACACUGCCUAGUGCUUGUACGUGCACAUCACGUCUCGCUGACACAGAGAUGGGCUGCUAGAUUCCUCUUCCAGAAAGAACGCCUGCCUGGUACUGUCAGUUAAAGUGAUACUGGGAAGAUCAUCAUUGACAUCCCAUUGGAACAUUAGCUUUUAGCCAAAUUGCCCAAAAUAGCUGCUUCCAGUUUAGUCGGCUAUUUGUUCCAAUUUCUAAAUCAGGCACAGAGACCAUGCACUUUUAAUUAGCACAUGUUUUAGUGGUCAAAGGUAAUUGCCAGCAGAUUGGCAGCUUAUAGGAAUUAACUACAAGGAGGCUUCUCCCAAAAGUUUAUUCCCAAAAGGUCAUCGUGAUGCAAUGUGAUGCUCUCAUUGCUUCGUUUCCUUUAUUGUUUAGUAUUUAUAUCAAUGACGUGCCCUUUUUGUGUCAUCUUGUUCCAUUUUAUUUCUGCCAUUGCUUAAUAGUGACUUGGGCCUUUCCAGUUCUUCUGAGGCAUAAAAAAGCACAGACGUUAGACUUAGAAAACCUGAGUUUGAAUCCUGCCUUCCCCCUUCCCUGACCUUUUGACAAUCCAUGACCUCCCUGGACUUAAUUUUCCUCAAUUUCAAAAUCAAGAGAUAUUCCCUUGUGUUGUAAUGUUCUGUGGAUCUCCUCAAGGCAAUAGUUCUCAGGCUCGACUUGAACUUUGGGAAUCACCCGGGGGGGGGGCUUUAAAUAAGCCCCGUCCCUGGGUCCUACUUCUGAGAUUCUAAAGUAGUUAGUCUGCCGUAUGGCCUGGGCCUGGACCUAGAUUAAAAACUCCCGGGUGUUUGUAAGCAGCCAGGUUGAGUUCCGUUGCCUUAGGGAAGAAGCAAGAUGAGGCUCUAAUUCAGAGUCAUAUACCUCAUUGAGCCCUUUCUGAUGCCAGUUAAGCUCAUGCAUUUUGAGAUCACUGCCCUCUGAAUGCUAGAGUAAAUUUUGCACUCAUAUGCUACCCAAACUAGUUGCAAACAUGCGUGAAAACAAAUCAAAAGGACAAACCUCUAAUCCAGAAGGUUAUUACCAACCCUUUCUGUGCCAACUAGAACACCGUGCGAGGCACAACCUCCCGAUCAUCCCAUUAGCCGACUAUCAUAGUCCUCUGUGCAUUGUAGAGACAUUGCCAAUGGAUAGGGAGCAAAGUCUGGUGAUAAUUAAGAGCUCUUGAUUAAAUCAGCCAAAACAGCUGGAAACCAUUCCUUAGAAACACUAUCAUUUUAAACAAUUAGAGGAAAGCAUUCUCUUUUAUUGUCACUUACCGAAAUGCUAGCUAGCUUUAGCAUUUAACACAGAGUGUAGUGGUGCUGUUAAAAGAGAGAAAAAAAUUACUCCUUUAAAUAUGGUGGCACCGUAGGCAGUGAAGUCCUUUCCAAGACCUUUGUGACAACUGGGAUCAAAUCUUAUUCAUUGCUGUAUCUCCUUUACGUUGAACAGAUUAGGUGCUCAGUAAACAUUUGAAGGGGAAAAAGAAGAAAACACGGAAGGAGUGAAGAGAGAAACCUCAAGGACAUAGAGACAAGCAAACAGGUAAAUCAGAGUUUUGGAAGAGGCUUUUUGUGGUAGAUUGGAAAAAACAGCCUCAAUUUCUUCCCCUGGCUGUAUGCAUUCUCGCAAUUAACUUCUCCCAGAAGUACAUUCUUUCUCCACUCAAUCCGGCCGGGCCUUGCAACUUUGGCCAAUGAGACAAUGACAAAUGUUGGGCAGGCAGAGACAUAGAAAAUGUGAAGACUGGGCUUCCUUUUGGAGGAGAGGCCCCAGUCAUUCCAUCCAUUCCAGAUGAGGCCACCGUAAAUCAGCCAAACCCACCAGCUCAGCAAAGAUUCAAGAAUGAGUCUAGCCCAGACCAACAUCAGACCACCCCACUGAGACGAGCCGUAAUUGUCAACACAGAGGAGCGUGAGCUAAAUAAAAUAGGUAUGUUAAGGCCACUUAUUUUAAGUUUGGGGUGGUUAGUUAUGCACCCCAUAAUCACAAUUGCUAAUCAUCACUACAUAAUUAUUAGUUAUUAGUUAUAACUAUUAGUUGUAACUAUUAUUAGUUAUCACGACAACUGUAGCUAAUUAAUCCCGUUGUAGAAAAGUCAUCGUGGGAGGUAUGAUUUAUCAAGAUCUUCGUUUGUGCCAAGUAGCAUGCUAAGAACUUUACACACAUUUUCUGACAUGGUCCUCACAAAAAUUGAGUAGAUGAGUAUCUCCAUUGCUUUAAUAUGUGAAGCUUGGAGAGAUUGAGUAGGUAUAAUGGCCCUGGAAUUUGAACUUAUGUUCAUGGGCCCCCAAGCCCAAACUCCUAACUACAGACAGUCCAAAGAGUCAACCACGGAGCAAAUCAGAGGGCCUGGCAGGAGAUGGUAGAGAUGAACAGAAGGUAACAACAAUUAUGGCCUCUCUUCCAGUCUGCUCUGCUGAGGGAACUGUGACGCCCUUCAGAAGAGCGAUUAUGUUUUCCAACUGUUUCAAAGACUCUUAGGAAAGUCAGUAGGUUUCGUAUCAGUUCUCAUUUGGGGGAGAAAUUGCGAUUGUAAUUGUAGACGGGUGCCAGGUUGCAAGAGCACCUGGUUCCGGGGGUCCCAAACAGACCAAAUUCAGCCGCUCGCCAUGGGACGAAUGGAGGUGAAACCAGAAAGGAAUUUGUGUCAAUGAGGCCCACACCAGGAAGACAGCGGACUAACAUCUGUCUCGAAAGACAGUCUCCAAAGUGCCAGAAGUACUUCCAGGUUUACAGGAAGAAAGUGUGGGACACAGGUCAGUGAGCACAUGCAGGAAGGCAGUGAAGUUCAAGUCGAUCCGUGUCUUGGGGUCACAUGCAGUCUGACUGGCUCAGGGCAGUCCUUUUUGUUUGGCUGGGUGGUUUCUGUUCCCAGCACAGGAUGCUUGGCCCGUAGGGUCUUUUGCCUGAGUUAAGAGAUAAGCUGCAAAGAAUCAGUUAGGAAGGUUCCAGGUUCAAACAGAAGUAGGUGAAGUCCUCUUUCAUGGAUCACCGCAGAGUUGUCGGAUUUCCUCUUGUGUUUAAGAAGAUGGAAAUAAACUGUGACAGUUGAAUAUUGUUUUCAAGUAAGUUAAAAUAAUUCUUAGGGACACCUGAGUGGCUCAGUCUGCUAAGCAUCUGACUCUUGGUUUUAGCUCAGGUCGGGAUCUCGCGGUUUGUGGAUGGAGCCCCGCGUCAGGCUCUGUGCCGGCAGCUCAGGGCCUGCUUGGGACUCUCUCUCUCCCUCUCUCUCUUUGCCCUUUCCCCCCUGGCGUACGUUCUCUUUCUUUCUCUCUCUGUCUCUCUCAAAAUAAAUAAACUUAAAAACUUAGUUUUAAAAGAUUACACCCCAUGGGACGUGCAAUGCUGGUGAAGUUCGUAAAGGAAAUCUUUGUCCGUAAACUGUGCUCUCCCAGUCUUUGUGUAGCAGUUGAGAGUGAGAGACAGAGACAUCUGCCUCUUGAAUUUGUCUCAAAUAAGGUAACAGAGUUGCAGUUAGACAAUAUCUCCGCUAAUCAGACUUACCUUGAGCCUUGAGUGGGGGGAGGGGUAGCUGAAAACAAAGCCAGAACUUUAGGCCUUUGAAGCAGGAACCUGGUGGCAGCCAGGUUUUGGAUAAAAACACAGUUUUUUAUCCAAUGAAAUGAAGGUGGGGAGGGGCAGAUCUGUUUGGAAAUGAUGAGAAGAAUAAAAGAAAAAAGUUCCCCAAGCAGGUGGCUGAAGCUAGUUGUGGUGGAACACCAGAAUGUUGGGGAACGCUGUUCUUACUGGUGACUCAAGGAGUCUGCGUGGCCUGUAGGUGUUUCUGCGUCUUGGAUUUUCAACUGCAGAAUGUAUUUGUUUUAAAAGAGCAAGAAUUAGGACAAACCCGGCAUUUUAGGAACCACUGUUGGAGGGGAGGGAGCAUGGGAGGGUUUCCCCACAUGGACGAGCGGUUUUCUGGACACCAGCGGGGGUCCCACAAUUUGGCUCAAUUCUGAUGCUACCCCGAGAUAGCGACAGUGUCCUUGGGCGAAGAGCUCGUUCCUACAAAGUGCCGCUGCCAUGGCACGCCAUCCCUGGCCACGGACACGCGUCCCGAGCCUAGACUUGCGUCCUCUGCUUCUGACUGACACAGGGAGACCAGAGGGACUCCAUGAAAAGCCGCUUUUUUUUUUUGUUCCUUUUCCCUGCUCCUACUCUUUUUUUUUAAGUUUAUUUAUUUUUGAGAGAGAGAGAGAGAGAGCAGGGAAGGGGCAGAGAGAAGAAGAGAGAGCAUCCCAGGCAGGCUCCACACCAUCAGCACGGAGCCCAAUGCAGGGCUCAAACCCACGAGCUAUGAGAUCAGCCCCUGAGCCAAAACCAAGAGUUAGACACUUAACUGACCGAGCCACCCAGGUGCCCCUUCCUGCUUCUAUUCCUGCUAGGACCUACACCCCCACCUUAUACACACCUUACAGGGCACAUAAUGUCCUCCUUGUCGAGGUCAAGGAGUUAAUGAUGUCUUCCAGCAUAAUAGGUAACAUCUUGACCAGGCAGGGUCCCCAUGAACUUCCCAAGACCACUGACUCACCAAGAGCUCUGGAUCCAGGGUACGGGUGACUUAUGGAGGACACCUGAGCACUCAUCUUUGUUCCCAAAUGCCUGAGAAGACGUGUGCACCAGACAGAUCACAGGCAAAAGGGAGACCCGCUCUCCUUUCCUUUCUGACGCUCCCAGACACUCUAUAUCUCCACUCUCUCUACCUUCAGUAAACUCCGCUCUUACUUCCUAUCAGCUCAUGUUGGAUUUCUAUCCCGCCUAAAGCCAACGUCCUACAGGACCUCCUCUGGGUCCUUGGACCCAGACAACCUGCAUCACGACCACGCGGCUACAGAUUGGAGGUUCCAGCGACCCCUCCUUGGCAAUUCAAUUCAGAUGCCACUUGGAAGUCUGCCCUGUCAUCUGUACUUCCGACCAACUGGCCAUAAGUCAGAAGUUUCCACAAACCCCUCCUUUAGUUUCAUUUGCUAGAGAAGCUCACAGAACUCAGAGGAGCGUUUUCCUUACAGCUCACUGGUUUGCUAUAAACGGAUAUAACUCAGGAACAGCCAGAUGGAUGGGAUGCAUAAGGCGAAGUGUGGACAAAGGGCUCAGAGUUUCCAUGCCCUUGCCAGGCACGCUACUUUCUUCACACCUGCACGCCUUCCCCAACCCAGAAGCUCUCCAAACUGUGCCCUUUUGGGUUCAUAUGGGAGCUUCAUUGCACAGGUAUGGUUGAUUAACUUAUUGGCCACCUGCAAUUGAACUCAGUCUCCAGCCUCUCUGCCUUCCCUGGUGGUGGGGGUGGGGGGGCGCGCAAGGUCUGAAAGUCCCAAUCCUCUAUUUACGUGGCUGGUCCUCCUGGCCACCAGUCCCCACCCUUGGGUUUCCCUGGGGCUUUCCAAAAGUCACCUUCCUGGGGCACCUGGGUGGCUCAGUAGGUUGAGCAACCAGCUCUUAGUUUUGGCUCGGGUCUGAUUUCAUGAUUCCUGGGAUCGAGCCCCGUGUUGUGUUCCACGCUGCCUGUCAAGAGCCUGCUUGGAAUUCUCUCUCCCUCUCUCUCUGCUUCGUCCCCACUUGUGUGCUCGCUCACACAUGCAUGUUCUCUCUCUCUCUCUCUCUCAAGAAAUAAAUAAACUUAAAAAAACCCACAAAAGUCACCUUGUGAACAUAACAAAAUACAUCUUUAUCACACUCAUCACAGGAAAUUCCAAAGGUUCUAGUAGCCGUGAACUAGGAACCACAGACAACCACCAAAUACAAUAUAUUGGUCAUGUGAAUGACCAGAUACGUAUUUCCUGUGAAUCACAGUCUCACACCUGGAGACACGAAUUCCCUGUACUUUUGGCUAGUGCACGAUUCGAACUACCCUGCUGCAUCCAAAAUGUGCACAGAAGCUAGUACAGUGGUGCUGGGAGCAUCAGAGAGAACAUACGUAUCCUACCUUGGAGGUAUCUAAUGUGAGAUCAGGCAAUGCUCAGGGCUCAAAGAGUUAAGCUAUAAAAUCAGAGCACCAGAUUUGCUCAAUGCUAAGGUGUAUGCUUUUUGCUUUUGAGUGUUUCUGGAAUAAGGUUCCACCUGAUGUUUUUGAUGUCAGCUGAAACUGGCCAGCCUUGGAAGGAGCGGUGUAAGUUUCUUCCUGAAACAAGUCGAUCCCAGUGGACUGUUCCGGCAUUGCUCUCAUUAAUAGGACCACAUGUGGUGGAAUUUUAAUGUGAAUGUGCAUUCCUAAUUGUUGCUUAAAUGAGCUCAAAAGGACCAGGCUAGAGUGCAGCAUUAAAACAGAAGUUAUCAGGGUUGCUCAGUUGGCUAAGCGUCCGACUCUUGGUUUCAGCUCAGGUCGUGAUCUUAUGGUUCAUGAGUUGGAGCCCCUCAUGAGGCUCCGUGAUGACAGUGUGAAGCCUGAUUGGGAUUCUUUCUGUCUCCCUUUCUCUCUGCUCCUCCCAUGCAUUCCCUCUCUCUCAAAAUAAAUAAACUUUAAAUAAAUAAAACAGAAGUUACCACGUGUGCAGGUAAUAAAACUAAAAACAGUAGAAAUGGCCAAUCGCCGCAUGUAGAUCACACAUCUGUCUAGAACAUUGAUAACAACAACAACGAGAAUUUGCAAAGCUAGGAGAAUUGCUGUGACUAAAUCAUGCAGCAAGCCAUCAUUCAUCAUCCACAGUUCCAUCUGUAAAUGCUUCUGACUGGUUCUAAGAGAAACUGUUUUACUUUCGGCAAGAGUACAUUUAAGUGAAAAAAUAUGUGAUGCACACACACACAAACGUGACGCUAUGAACUUAAUCAAAUAACGAAUGUAGCUAAAACUCUUGUAUACUUGGGUUAGCCUCCAAAUAAUGCUAUCAAAGCAACAGUUGCAAUAGAGGCCAAGAUGAAGUUCAUGAAAAAGCAGCAUGUCUGCAUGAUUAUACACAGAGCUGUUGAGAGACACAUGUGAUUCAGAAGAACCUUUGGGUGCUGAAUGUGAAGCAGGCUUAAAGUCAAACUUAGAUUGUGAAAUUAAUGUGAAAUACACUAUAAUUAUAUAGGUCGAUGUAUGUUCUGUUGGUUGAUUUUUAAAAUACAGUUACAUCCAUUGAGUUUCUUGUUUCUCCCCAAAACACUAUGAUUAAAUCCAUAGCUUAUCUUGCAAUUGAUGGCAUUUUACAGUGGAAGAAAUGCAAUGCAUGAACUUAUAUUGGUAAAGUAUAUUAAAGACAAAAGUUUGGGGUGCCUGGGUAGCUCAGUCAGUUAAGCAUCUGACUUUGGCUCAGGUCGUGAUCUCACAGUUCGUGGGUUUGACCCCCACGUUGGGCUCUCUGCUGUCAGCAUGGAGGCCGCUUCAGAUCCUCUGUCCCCCUGUCUCUGCCCCUUCCCCUGCUCAUGCUCUUUCUCUCAAAAAUAAAUAAACAUUAAAAAAAAAAAAAAAGUUUUAUUGGGCCAGGAUGCCUGGCUGGCUCAGCGGAUAGAGCAUGUGACUCUUGAUCCCAGGGUCAUGAGUUCAAGCCCCAUAUUGAGUGUAGAGUCUACUUUAAAAAAAAAAAAAAAAAAAGUUUUAUUGGGCCAAAUAUAGGAAAAGCAAAUUUACCUGUGAUCUAAUUGAUGCAAUUGUUGAUCUUAGAACUGUUGUUUAAAUACCUGCUCUAUACAAGGUAAUUUUCUAGAUUUAAAAAAAAAAUCUGUAUCUAAACAAAUCUGAUUUGCAAGUAUCAAAAUCACUUUAAUCUAGUUUAAACACACACGCACGAAGAGGGAAUUUAUUAUGAGAAUACAAAGGCAGGAUGCAGCAAGCUCAAAAUGACUUGGAAUUAAAAGGAAAGUCAUCAGGGGGCGCCUGGGUGGCGCAGUCGGUUAAGCGUCCGACUUCAGCCAGGUCACGAUCUCGCGGUCCGUGGGCUCGAGCCCCGCGUCGGGCUCUGGGCUGAUGCCUCAGAGCCUGGAGCCUGUUUCCGAUUCUGUGUCUCCCUCUCUCUCUGCCCCUCCCCCGUUCAUGCUCUGUCUCUCUCUGUCCCAAAAAUAAAUAAACGUUGAAAAAAAAAAAAAAAAGGAAAGUCAUCAGGGGGCACCUGGGUGGCUCAGUCGGUUAAACGUCUGACUUUGGCUCAGGUCAUGAUCUCAGGGUUAGUGGGCUCGAGCCCCGCAUCGGGCUCUGUGCUGGCAGCAUGGAGCCUGCUUGGCAUUCUCUCUGUCUCUCUCUGUCUCUCUCUCUCUCUCUCUCUCUGCCCCUCAAAAUAAAGAAAUACAUUUUAAAAGGAAAGUCAUGAGGAACGUUGGAAGUCAUGUACCUUCCUCACGGCUCUCUCUUGCCUCUCCCUCUGCAGAAGGAUUAUUUUGCUAUGCGGUUCACGUGACUACAGAUGGUCAUUCCACAGCUCUCAGAUUUUAUUAUCUGCCGUACUCAAAAUACCAGCAACCCGCGUUGAACUCUUCUCUGUUCAUUCUAGCCCCACAUUCCCAGGAAAAUACACGGUGUGGUUUGAGUCAGAUACACGUCUUGUUUCAAUCAGCUGACGUAUCCAGAUGGCACAGCAGUUAUUGCUAUAAUAGUUCUACAGACACACUGCCCCAAACCUCAGGGCCUUAAAACAACCACCAUGCUUAGUUCUCAUGAGUUUAUGUGUCCCCUGGAUGGCGGCACUGAUCUGGACCGAGCUUGACUGAAUUUGGCUAGGGAACAGCCCUGUGGACAGUAUACAUCUCACGUCUGAGGACCACGCCUGUGGGUGAAAGGCACAGUGAAGGUGAUUGUUGUGAGCUGGGCCUCUAAGUCUUAAAACAGGCUAAUCUAACACCAUCUGUCACUGAAUUCCCGCACUCCCCCUGUGAGAUGGGUGUCAUUUGUCUACUUGUUACAGAUGAGGAAACUGAGGCAGGGAGCUGUCAGGGCCAGGAUGCUGUAUCAGUUCUACCUGACCACACAACCGGUAGUCAUUCCAUCAGAUUCAGUUACAAGAGAAUUUUUAGCCAACAGAGGAAACUAUCGGCAAUAUUAUGUAGAAAGAGGAGAACCAAAGAGGCAUUUUUGGUGGAUUCAUAUAAAAUGGUCUUAAGGGAGGGGAACCAGACUCAAAGAUUCAGACACUCUUUGUGUAUCCUUUUGCAGAGAUGAGGCAUUGCUCCCACCUGUCCAUUCCCUCCCUUCCCCCAACCGUUAGGGACUUUUUCCAAAUAACUCACCAUGCUGUAUGACUUAUUUCACACGUUUAAUGAGUUAAACAUUUGAAGCAUAUGUCAAUUCUCUUGGCCCCAGUCCUGAGGUUUACUAAGCUACCUUGGUUUGGUUUCUCAUCUAUAUUUGAUACAAGAAACAAUGCACUGAUACAAGAAACUGCAAACUCCUGCCCUUCCUGAUAGUUGUAUUUCUCACCUGUGGACAUUUGAUUUAUAUACUUCCAUCUCUCAUGAUUUUAAUUAGAGUAGAUAUAUUGGUCAGGGCACACCAAGUCAUGCCACAUCACUGCUUUAUUUUUGGAUAAAUUAGAAUCUUAUAUUACAUUAUCUCAUCUGCGCUCCCCUCUCCCCCCACCCCCGGCCACUGCUAACUGAACAAGACUUUAGCUUAUUCGUUCUUGCAUGUGUUCAUUCAUCUUAAAAAAUGUAUUGAGUAUUUGCUAUAUGCCAGGUAUCCAACAGGUGCUGGGAUAGACACAGCCAACUAUCACCAGUUCACGGUGAUUGCCGCGUAGUAAGGUAGACAAUAAGAAAGUACGUGAACAAAUAUCUAAUUAUGAAUUGUGUUAAGUGCUGUAAAGCAAAGGAAUAGUGUCCUGUGAUAAAAAGAAAUGGGAAUAGGAAGAAGGAGAUCUGCUUAUGAGUUAGAAGGGCUGGAGAAGGCCUCUCCGUUGGCUUACCAAAGGCCAGGCCGUGGGUGGCUGUGGUUCAUUGCAGACGCAGGCUAUAAAAAGAGGCAUUCUUUGGAGAGGACUUGACCACGAUGAAAAAAAAAAUAUUAAAAGUGCGUUUGCUUUUAUUAUCACCAUGUGCCAGCUAUUAUAAAAAAGUCAGUGAUAAAAUGCCCUCUGAAAAAGUUUUUUGUCUAAGGUCUAAUCAAUUUCUGUGGUUACUGUGAGUUCUAGUAAUUUACAUGUAAUUGGCACAUUUUUAUUGCUUACAAUAAAACAUAAUAUUCAAUUUGGAAUACUUUAAAGAGCUCCCAAUUAUAAAAAUCAGCCUCCACACAUACGGACACAGCUACACACAUUCAGAGAGUGGGUUCAGAGCGAUUCCAAAUUACUCGAGCUAGCUUCUGGUUCAGUUCCCAUCGCCAAAUCCUGUGUUACGACACAUCUCCGUAACACUAUUUAAAAAUUUUUAACACUAUUUAACACUAUUUAACAAUUUACUAUUUAAAUAGUAAAAUUGGAAUAAAUGAUAGCACGUUGACUGUGAACAUUAAGAGGCAAACUUGAGGGUCUUCAAUUCUAAGUGACAACUUGUAGCUUUUAUUUGUGUCUAAAUUUUAAAACAGCAAAUUGUGAACUCUGAUACAUAAUAUUGUUUGGAAAGGCACAUCUCAGUUUAUACAUGAACCAUUUUACAUUUCAGUUUAUACAUGAACUAUUUUACUGAUUUUGAAUGAUAUUUUAAUUUUAAAGAUCCUUUUUAAAUUAAUUGCUUUAUUUUUUUAAAAGGCCUUAUCUUAAUUUCUUCCUUAGCCCCCAGAGCAGUCAUACUGAUGUGUUUUGGUUUUUCUUUGAUGUUUAUUUAUUUUUGAAAGAGAGAGAGAAUCAGUGGGGGAAGGCAGAAGGAGAGAGAGACACAGAAUCUGAAACAGGCUCCAGGCUCUGAGCAGUCAGCACAAGAGCCUGACGUGGGGCUCGAACCCAUUAGCCAUGACAUUAUGACCUGAGCCGAAGUCAGACGCCUAACCGAUUGAGCCAUCCAGGCGCCCCUUGCUUUAUGUUUUUUUAAAGAUUUUAUUUUUAGGUAAUCUCUACAUCCAGCAUGGAACUCGAACUCACGACCCCGAGAUCAAGAGUUGUACCCUCUACCAACUGAGCCAGGCAGGCACCCCUUAAAUUAAAAGUUAAGAAAAAAAAUCAGUCAAGAUUAUAUUUGAUUUUAUUGAUUAUUAGAUUAUUACUAAAAGGGGCACCUGGGUGGCUCAGUGAGUUAAGUGGCCAACUUCAGCUCAGGUCAUGAUCUCGCGGUCUGAGAGUUCGAGCCCCGUGUCGGGCUCUGUGCUGAUAGCUCGGAGCCUGGAGCCUGCUUCUGUUUCUGUGUCUCCCUCUCUGCCCCUCACCCAUUCGUGCUUUGUCUCUCUCUGCCUUUCAAAAAUGAAUACAUGGUAAAAAAAAUUUUAGAUUAUUACUAAAUGUAUUUUUGUCAUAUAGAGAAAGAGACUGUUAAAAAAUGAUUGGCUCUGGUGAAAAAACACAGACACCACUGGGUCUCUCUGAGAUAAGCGUCUCUCAAAGAGGAAGGUGAAGUUUAGGAGAAGGUAGGGCUUACAGGUCCAGCUUCCCCAACCGUGUGAAGUUUUCCCCUCAAAUUGUCAACCUCAGGAAUCUGAGACUUGGGGCGCCUGGGUGGCUCAGUUGGUUAAGCAUCUGAAUUUGGCUCAGGUCAUGAUCUCACAAUUUGUGAGUUUGAGCCCCGAGUCGGGCUCUGUGCUGACAGCUCGGAGCCUGGAUCCCGUUUUGGAUUUUCUGUCUCCCUCUCUCUCUGCCCCUCCCCUGCUCGCUCUCUCUCUCUCUCUCAAAAAUAAAUAAAAUAAACAUUAAAAAAAUAUUUGAGAUUUGCUUUUUAAAGGAAGAUGAUGUCUCAUUUACAGAAGUCUGUAAUGGGGAAAGGAAUAGGUCCUUGAGUUUGGUGAUUAAUGAUCAUCAUUAAUGGUGAAGAGAGAAUUUUUACCUGAGCAGUUUAGAAAUGAAGAAAAGAUGAGGUGGAGAGGAAAGAAGCCUGCAGGAAUAGAUAUUUAGCAGCAAAAUGAAUAGGAAUCUUCUUUCCCCAAGAGGGGAUUAGCUGGCCCCAAACCCCCAUGAUUCACGAGCAAUGGCAAAUGGAAUCCCUCAUUUUGCUAUUAAGCUUAGUUUGCGACUAACUGUCCAAAACCACAGUGAAGUUUGUACACUUUUAAAUGAUCCCAGAAAAGGCAAGCCUGGGGGGAUGCAUAAGUAUGAGCAUAAGGGACCGGGAGAUGACUCAGAUAAACAAACACAGCAUGAAGAAUGAGCCAUGGAGGAAAAGGAAAGAGAAAUGUCAUUGAUUUUGUUGAUAUGGUUGUUCAUUCACCAUGGAGGUAAAGUAAUACAAUUUUCUAUAACUAGACAGGUGCCAGGGUUUACACAUUUAUUAAGUCAGUUUUAAAAUUGCCCAAUUUAAUUGCAAAUCUUUUAAGGAUAGUUUCCCCUGUAGUUACUUAUUCUAAUAUUCAGUAAAAUUGUUCUUCACAUAAUCUGACCUUCUUUGUUUUGUAAUUGUGCUAACAGUGAAAUAAAACACAUCUUCCCCGUCAUAUUAAGACAUUCUGUUAAUAACUUUAGUAUAAGCCCACAUAAACCAACUACAAUUUCCAAAUGCUGUUAUAAUGAUGCAGAGUAGGAGAAAAUAGUUUUUGAUCGCAUGAACCAAAAAUCUUUGUAGGUGCCAAUGACUCCAGCUGGAGAGGAAAAUACAAUCUGUCUAAUGGAAAAGAUAUGUUUUUAAAAGACAUACACACCAAUCACAGAGAAUCUGAAAAACGCAGAAGCUAAAUGUAUAAAGAAGAAAAUACCAGUGAUGUCUAAUUUAUCUCCCUCUGACUCAGAAAUAACCUUUUGCUUUAGUAUCAGGAGGUCAUGCCACGGACUUCAAGGGACUCUAAAUGUGCAAAAGACAACAGAACAUCAAACGUGUGUUUUCAUUAGCAUUUGGUUGAUAUUACCCUUUCUCGACUGUAAGUUCCCUGCAGGAAGUAACCAUAUCUACAUUUAAUAUUGUGAGCAUGCCGGGGCUCCUGGGUGGCUCAGUCAGUUAAGCGUCCGACUUCAGCUCAGGUCACGAUCUCUCGGUUUGUGGGUUCGAGCCCCGCGUGGGGCUCUGUGCUGACAGCUCAGAGCCUGGAGCCUGCUUCGGAUUCUGUGUCUCCCUCUCUCUCUGCUCCUCCUCCGCUUGCACUCCGUCUCUCUCUCUCUCUCUCUCUCUCUCUCUCUCUCGUUCUCUCUCGUCUCUCUCUCAAAAAUAAAUAACAUUAACAAAUUUGUUAAAAAUAUUGCGAACAUGCUGGGCACAAGAUCAGCAUUCAGUAUGUAAAUGCUGAAUGAUGAGGUCUGUUUCCUUAGCAAUGAGGCAUUUAGGUUCUCAUGACCUUCGUGCUUUAUACCCUCCGGAUGUGAUGUCUCUUCUCUUGCCCAGUUCUCAUUAUGUCAAGGCCCAUCAUCAUUUUGGCCAUCUUCCUCUCCUUCCUCUGUCUUUUCCUUUUCCUCCUCUUCUUGUCCCUCUUCCUUGUCCCCCUUCUCUUGUUGUUCUACAUCUUGUGAUGUCUCUCUUAGAGCACAGUGCCCCCAACUUGCUCCCAGUAUUGCCCUGGAUGUGACAGUCAUCAAAGGUGACACUGAUUUACUCCUGUGCAAGGAACCAGACACAGUACUCAGGAUAUUGCCUACAUUCUUGUUUUUAGGCUGCCCUGCAACCCUGGGAUGUGCACACUAACAUUUUGUCUUUUUUUUUUUUUAAGUUUAUUUAUUUAUUUUGAAAGAGAGAGAGAGAGAGUGAGAGCAUGAGUGGGGGAGGGGGAGGGGCAGAGAGAGAGAGGAAGAGAGAGCAUCCCAAGCAGGCUCCGUGCUGUCAGCAAGGAAGCUGAGGCAAUACUGGAUCCCAUGAACCGUGAGAUCCUGACCUGAGCCGAAAUCAAGAGUCGGACACUUAACCAACUGAGCCACCCAGGUGCGCCCAUAACAUUUUGUGUUUUUAUUUUUAUUUACUCGCUUAUUUACUUAUUUAUUUUACAGUUUAUUAUUUAUUUUGAGAGAGAGCGAGCGUGUGUGUGAAUGGGGGAGGGGCAGAGAGAGAGGGAGAGAGAAUCCCAAGCAGGCUCCACGCCAUCAGCGCAGAGCACGAGGUGGUCGCCUGCAACAGACUUUGUGGUCUAGCUGUCACUCACUACAUCUUUCCACAGUCCUUUCUCCAAAAACGGAUGGUCUGCUGAUUCUUGCCAUGAGGCUUUUAAAAAUGGAUGGGGAGGGGCGCCUGGGUGGCUCGGUCGGUUAAGCGUCCGACUUCGGCUCAGGUCAUGAUCUCACGGUCAGUGAGUUCGAGCCCCGCGUCAGGCUCUGUGCCGAUAGCUCAGAGCCUGGAGCCUGUUUCAGAUUCUGUGUCUCCCUCUCUCUCUGCUCCUCCCCUGUUCAUGCUCUGUCUCUCUCUGUCUCAAAAAUAAAUAAACGUUGAAAAAAAAAUUUAAAAAUGGAUGGGGAAAAGAAUGGGAAAGUGAUGCUGUGAACCUGUGCUUCCUGAGCCUCUGUGUCGGGGACUAAUCACGCUGGGAAGGUCCAGAUUAACUAAGGAAACCAGUUCUAAGUUUCCAAAAUUCAAUUUAAAUGGCAACUAAAAGGCAUUUACACAUCCUGGAAAAAGCAGAAAGGCAGCGUCUGGACUGCUUUUGCUGUGGAGGCUGCGAGUCAGUAUUAUGUCAGGGGUGUGGGAAAGUCAAGGCUCAGGAGACACCCCGCAUCUGUGGAAACAUAAUCCAACAAUUGUUACACGCACAGGCUGACGCGCCACAGAAAUGAAACAAUGGGUCCCUGCAGAUAGCAUUUUUUUGCGCCUAAUCAUUUGGUUUCAAUCUUGACAAUGUUCUGUGGAUGCUUGUGGAAGAGGUCCCUCUGGUCAACAAAUAGAAGGCUUUUAACUAUACCAUUAAAAUGGGGGGAAAGUAGCCACAGAACCCAACAUGGUGCUACCUGACGUGAACAGAAGCAUGAAAUGGUUUUGAAUAAAUGAAAAAGUCUGGGUACUUCCUGCAUGUAUUUUCCCAUGUAUUGGCUUUCAACUGUAGGGAAAUAAUCUGUGGAGUGUGUAAACAGGAGAAAGUGCUUUUUAGAAGCAGUUGUUAGAUAAAAACAUUCAGUUCAUUUCGACUGACAUGCAUUGCAUCCAAUUUGUUGUUUUUACUUGAUUGAAACUGCAAUCUGUCCAAAAAGCGAUUUAAGAGAAAUACGUAUUAGUAACUCCCUCUGUGCAAAAAGUUAACACCCGUUUCAAGAGGGGGGUUCAGAGAUGGAACAGACCCCUAUCUCUGAAGAUACUCAUCACACAGAAGAAGAGGUUGUAUGUAUCAGUCAGCUCUUAGUUGCGAGAACAAGUCGUUUGUUUGGUAAUGUCUUGUUGUAGAAUAAACUCCCCUAAAAUUUAGCGGCUUAAAACGAUAAUUUGUCGUUACUGCUCAUGGUUCUACGAUUGACUGGUCCAGCCAGGGGGGCCUGGCCUGGUCUCUCGUGUAAUUACGGUCAGAUAUUGGCCGGGGCUACAGUCGUCUGAGGGCUUACUGGGCCUGUCAUCCAGGCUGGCUCAUUCCCACGGUGGGCAGCUGGCUGUCAUCGGGGACCUCAGCCGGGCUGACAGAGCGCCUGCUCCUUGGAAAUACAAUUAAAAACAAAAUCUUCGAACCCAGAAAACCUCUCUGCAGAGGUAGUAGAAUAAGAAAACAGUCUAAGGGCCAAAGCAGAACGUGCUGCACGUUGACACAUUCUGCUAAGUGAUCGCGAGGAGGGGUCUCACCCUCUUACACGGCCAAGCAGAUGCCACCUGUUAAUUGCCUGUUCUCCAGAUAAACGACAACGACUAGUCCCCAGGUCAGGGGACUUGAUGGCACCAUUUGUCACACAUACUUCAUCCUGACUUUACGAGGUAAUCGGGGCGACCCUCUGCGUUAGCGAAUUGGUUUUUUCCAGAGGGAUAACAAACUUCUGAUAUCUUUAUGACAGGACAUUAUAUUACAACUUGGAAAAAGGCACCCACUCAAGUUAGGUUCCCACCCUCUGAGAGAAAUAGAGAGAGGGAGACAGAAGGGGCCGGGGUGGGAACCGGAACAGGGGCAUCCCCCUUCGUGUCUACACUACAAAGAAAGGGCUCCCAGCUCUUUGAGAAAGACAGUUCUAGGUCAUAAAGCUGACAAAAGACCUCUCUAGUUUUCGAAAGGGUUUAUAUACACAUUCCAAGUUGUUUUUUUUUCUUUAAAAAAAAAAACCUUUUUUUUUUUAAUGUGUAUUUAUUUUUGAGAGACAGAGAGAGACCAAGAAUCCAAAACAGGCUUCAGGCUCUGAGCUGUCAGCACAGAGCCCCAUGUGGGGCUUGAACCCACAAACCUUGAGAUCAUGACCUGACCCCAAGUCAGAUACUUAAGGGACUGAGCCACCCAGGCCUCCUGCCAGCCUCUGUAUUCUUGAACUUCUGCUACUUUACUCUCAAGUUUCUCUGGAAAAAUAAAUUCCAUGUGCUGGUAGCCUCCUUCUAUUACCCACUUUUUCUUAUUUGUGUGUUUGUUUGUUUGUUUUGUUAGGCUCCAUGCCCAGAGUGAAGCCCAAUGUGGGGCUUGAACCCAUGACCCUGAGGCCAAGACCUGAGCUGAGAUCAAGAAUCAGACAUUUAGCCAGCUGACCCAUCCAGAUUUUUUUUGAACUUUUUACAUUUAUUUUUGAGAGAGAGAGAGUGAAUACGAGCGGGGGAGGGGCAGAGAGAGAGGGAGACAGAAUCCACAAAGCAGGCUCCAGGCUCUGAGCUGUCAGGGCAGAGCCAGAUGCGGGGCUGGAACCCGUGAACCACGAGAUAAAUGACCUGAGCUGAAGUCAGACGCUUAACCAACUGAGCCACCCAGGCACCCCCCCUCCCCCACCUGACCCCACUUCUCACUUUUGUUUUUUUAAAUUUUUUUUUUCAAUGUUUAUUUAUUUUUGGGACAGAGAGAGACAGAGCAUGAACGGGGGAGGGGCAGAGAGAGAGGGAGACACAGAAUCGGAAACAGGCUCCAGGCUCCGAGCCGUCAGCCCAGAGCCCGACGCGGGGCUCGAACUCCCGGACCGCGAGAUCGUGACCUGGCUGAAGUCGGACGCUUAACCGACUGCGCCACCCAGGCGCCCCCACUUCUCACUUUUGAAUAGACAUCUGGUUCUGGAGCAUCUGAUUGGUGGUGCAUAAGUCACGUGGCUGAGUCUAGCUGAAAAGGAGGCUGUGAAAAUGAGGUCCUGCCUUCUUUCUCGGGAUGUUUCUCAGGAUGAUGGAUUAUGUCGGAUUACCCCAAUCAGAUUUCUAGAGGUCAGCACCUUCUCUCGUCCUCUGACUCCACAUCCAGUCUCAUGAUCAAGCCAUGUCGAUUUUAUUGAAAAUAACCGUCUUUGUUAUGCCAAUGGCGAAACUCUUUAUGCACGCAAUGGAUGAAACUUGUCUACUGAGUAGAACGGUGGGAUUUGCUGCUUUUAAAUUUGCUAAUUUAUCCUAUCAUUUUAAAAACAAAGAGUAGAAAUAACUCCUUGCCGUUUGGUGGGUCCAUCCUAUUUGUUGAACUUGAGAGAACUUUCCUUUGCCUCGGUAUCCCCACUGGUUGAAAAAAGGAUGUGGACUGUGUGUCCUCUCAGCUUCUUCCCCACUGCGUCAAUGAGUAGAUUUCUUUUUUUGAAACACUAGAAAAGAUGGGGAAAAAACAGGAAAUCUGUGCCUGAGUCCUUACAGAUUAGACAGUCGUGAGCUCUGGAAUGCAGGGAUCUGGUGUAUUAGUCCAGCACCAAUCCCCUUUUCACAGAGAUUGGAACUGGACGCACUUCAACCCUGCCGGUUGAGGCCAUGGCUUUUUUGUGCCUUGCAGUAAAUCAGUAUUGUCAGGAUUUCUGAUUAUCAUAACCUCCCGAAAUAGAAGCUCAUUAUUCUCUUCCCAUUCCAGGCUCAACAGAAUUGUGCCUGAUUAAAACUUUACAGGGAAUGCAGGGAGCCUUUAGCAAUUUUUCUCUCCCCCUGCCGUUCACUAUGUUUUUCUUCUUAAAAAUUUUUGUAUGCGCUAGAACUAUUUUGUUUCUGCGUUCCUUAAGAGGCGGCUUGCAUAUGCUAUGAGAGAUGGUUGCAGUAUUAAGGUGUUGAAAAUCCUUGAUGGCCCUGGUGUGCUACAGGAAGUUAACGCAGUGUCUUACAGUGAUUCACUGAGAGCUGUUGAACUCCAUGGAAACUUCUUUGUAGAAGAACAAAAGCCUAAGGGCAUCUUUGUCGUCAAUAUGUUCUCACCUUCAAGUGAAUGAGAAGAAGGAAUAAACCCACAAUAAUGAGAGUACAGCCUCAUGGCAUUUUUACUCUGAAUGAUAUUUCAGAGGAUACUCUGGAAGAUCUCUCUCCACACCAUGUACAAAGAUAUUUUUAGACUGUCUAUGUGUUUGUAAUCUUGCUACAAUAUUGCUGCACCGUGAACAACAACCAUGAAAUCUGACCGUGUUUUCACAAUGGAAAUCUCGAAGAACUUCGUAAAAGCAUAAGGAGCGUUUGCUAAGACUGUUGGGAUUCAGGGAUCCUUUAAAAAUAUUUUCUUCUGUUCUCUAGAGAGAGACUUGGUGGUAGGUGAUGUGAAAUGUUGGGGUCUGGGAGCGAACAGUCAGGAAGGAAUUCUUGAGGAGUGCCUGGGUGGCUCAGUCAGUUAAGUAUCUGACCCCUGAUUUUGGUUCAGGUCAAGAUAUCAGGGUUUGUGGCUUUGAGCCCCACCUCAAGGGAGGAUUCUGCCCCUUCCCUGCUCUUUCUUUCUCUCGCUCAAAAUAAGUAAAUAAAACUAAAAAAAAAAAAAAAGAAAGAAAGAAAGAAUUCUUGAGACGUCUUCGGUGCAAACAAGGUGGUUUUAUUAAAGCACGGGGACAGGACCCGUGGGCAGAAGAGCUACACUGGGAUUGUGAGAAGUGACUGAUUAUAUACUUUCAAGCUGGGAGGGGGUUAGAGAUAGUGUAAGUCUCUAAGGAAUUUGUAAGCAAGGUUUCCAGGCCCUUGAGUGGCUUGCUGCUAUUGGGACGAGGUCAUUUACUACUGUCUCAGUCGUGAGACCCUUCAGAUAUGUAUCAGUGGGCCAUAUGUUUGCAGGAUAAUUGUUAACGUAUAUCUCGGGGCAUAGGUAGAGACAAAGGAAGUCGAAGGGAUUUUUAUAUGCUGAAGAAGACUUACUGGAUCCUGGAGGUCAGGUUUAUGUCAAGCUAAGGUUGCCUUUUGCUGCUAGCAAAGUAUUCACAUUGAGGCAGCUGAGUUCUUGGAGGAAGGUCACUUGGUCUGUCUCAAGUACUUGUCAACGGGAUGUAAGUUACAAAGAAGUUUAAUAUUUGUAUUUUUUUAAGUUUAUUUAUUAGAGAAAGAGAGAGAGAGAGAGAGAGAAAGAGCCGGGGAGGGGCAGAAAGAGAGGGAGAAGAGAAUCCCAAGCAGGUUCCACACUUUCAGUGCAGAGCCUGUCUUAGGGCCCCAUCUCACGAACCGUGAGAUCGUGACCUGAGCCGAAAUCAAGAGUCGAUGCCUAACCGACUGAGCCACCCAGGCGCUCCAGAAAGUUUAAUAUUUUUCUGUAUUUCUUUUGCCUUUGUUCUCCACAUCAGUGGGGAUGAAACUGGGGAGAAGAGUCCACAUCACCCAGAAGCAGUGUCAGUUGCUUACGGUAAAAGUUGGGUUUGUACUGUGCUCCCAGAAGUCACGUAAUUUUCCAGAAAAGCAAAAGUUCCGGAUUUCUUUUAACGUUUAUUUGUUUUUGAGAGAGAGAGAGAGAGAGAGAGAGAGAGAGAGAGCAAGCCUGAGCAGGGAAAGGGCAGAGAGAAAGGGGGCUAGAGGAUCCGAAGUGGGCCCCAAGCUGGGACAGCAGCGAGCCCGACGUGGGGAUCAAACUCAUGAACUGUGAGAUCAUGACCUGAGCUGAAGUUGGAUUCUCAACUGACUGAACCACCCGUGUGCCCCUGUUCAGGAUUUUAAUAGAUGUUCAGUAACCUAGUAAUUUUUCAAAAAAGCGUAUUAGCUGGGCCUCAUGGGUGGCUCCUCUGGUUCAGGCUGGUCAAAUCUUUUCACAAAAGCAUAUUCUCCUUUUACAUUUCUCUUUUGACAAGUAUUUACUGAACACCAAUUAUGUUCCAGAUACUGAUCUAGGUACUAGAGGAACAGGAGUGAAAAAACAACCAGAUGUGCUCUCUGCCCUCAAGGAGCUCAUAGUCUAGUGGAUGAGAAAGAUAGUGAAUAAUUAAGCAUUUAAUAAAUAUGACCAUUUCAGAUACUGAGGAGUGCCAUAGCAAAAUAAUAAUAAUAAUAAUUAUUAUUAUUAUUAUUAUUAUUAUUUUGAAAAUUAAAAAAAGAGGGGCACCUGGAUGGCUCAGUAGGUUAAACAUCUGACUUUGGUUCAGGUCAUGAUCUCACAGUCCGUUAGUUUGAGCCCCGCGUCGGGCUCUGAGCUGACAGCUCAGAGCCUGGAGCCUGCUUCAGAUUCUGUGUCUCCCUCUCUCUCUGCCCCACCCUUGCUCGCACUCAGUCUCUUUCUGUCUCAAAAAUAAGUAAACAUUAAAACAAUAUUUUUAAUUAAAAAAAAGAAAGAAAAGAAAAAAGAAAGAAGUACUUCCCUAACAUUGUGUCCUUAUUUCCAAAGGAUUUUACUGUCUACUAAGUAAGAAAUGGAUGAAAAGACCCUGACCGUAGUAAAAGAAUAAACACACACACACACACACACACACACACACACACACACACACACACACACUUUGUAAUAAUCCUAUGCCUCAGCAUGAGAUUGAAGCAAAGCAUGGACACAGAUAUCCAAUUUGUGCAAUCCAGUUUCGUGCAAAUAGCUGUAAUUUAUCAAGGUUCUGCUACAAAGGCGGUAAAAAUAAAAGCACCAGGAAUGGUUGUUGACCCAUGAGAACACCAUACUCAUCGCAUGCUUCACUCACAAGGGGACAGUGGAGACACUAGCCAGCCCCUCCAUCACAGGCCCAAGAAAUUCACUGCUGCUCUCGACGGUCCCCAACUACACACAUACGGGGAUAUUUAUUGCCCAUUUACUCCUAAGCGCCAGGCACCAUGGUCGGCACUUAACGUGCACUCUUUCAGUUAAUCCUUGCAGAACCCCCCGAGGCAAGGAACAUAACCCCCCCUUUUGCAGAUAAGGACCUUGAAGCCCAAAGCCUGACAAUUGACCUCACACAUGGAUAAUGAGUGACAAGUGUGAGACCAGUCUGUCUAACUCCAAAGCCAACUGCUUUGUCCAGGCUGAGGGCACGAGAAGGCUAAAAACAUCCAGGGCAGGGGGUCUGGGACUCUCACAAGGUGAAUUAGCGGUCUACCAAUGCAGUAAGUCUUCAGCCUACUGUCUUCCUUAUUUUAGCUUCGAUGGUGACCAGUGGGUCUAGCAGCAUUUUAAAAGGUGCAGUAAGUAUGCACUUAGAAUGAUCUGAAUCCCUCUAGCCUUUUGGGAUUAAAACUACGUCUAGGAAGGUGAUGAAGUUUCGGAGGGAGGGUGGGGGUCAGGAGCCGAUGGCCAAAAAGGAGUUCCUAAGAGGUCUUUAGUGCAAAAGAUGAUUUAUUAGAGCCCGGGGACAGGACCUGUGGGCAGAAAGAGCUGCACUGGGGUGGUGAGGGGUGAUUGGUUAAAUACUGUGGAGUUGGGGGAGGGAAAGGCAAAAGGGAGGUUUCCAAAGAGAAACCUCGUGUGCUAAAGAGAACUCCUGAGAUACUGGAGGCCCAGCUAUGAUCAAGCUAAGGUGGUUUUUUUCCCCCCUAGCAAAGCAUUAGCAUGAAGACAGUAGGGAGUUGCUGGAGAAAUGUUCUACUCCACCAGCCUCAAGCAUCUGUCCGGUGGGCUCCAGUUUACAAAGGAAUUUAAUUUCAUUUACAUUUUCUUCUUGUCUUCUUUCCCCCAUCACUGGACGGGAGGGUGAUGUUAGGGCUCCAGGAAACUGUGACUAUAGGUUUCUGGAGAUUGCCUGUUUUUUUUUUUUUUUUGUUUUGUUUUGUUUUGUUUUUGUAAAUCAUUAAGUUGCAGACUGAUUGAGACUCAUCCCGCAGGACUGUGAUCUCUAUCAGUUAACCACUUGUUUCUCCCUUUCCUUUGUUCUUGGGUAGCCAGGAGAGCCUGAAGAAUGUCACAGGUGUCCCACCUGGUGUGGGGGGGUGUGUGUGGCGUGUCAGCUUGUGCUUUGUCCUCAGCUUGCCUUUGAUGCCCCCAUCGAUAAGCUUCUUUCAUUCAUAUUUUUAAAAACCUCAUAUAUUGGGGCAUCUGGGUGGCCCAGUUGGUUAAGCUUCUGACCCGUGGUCUCAGCUCAGUUCUCGUCGCAGGGUCUUGAUCGCAGGAUUGUGAGUUCAAGCCCAGUGUUGGGCUCCAUGCUGGGUCUGAAGCCUAAUUAAAAAAUAAAGAAAAACUAACAGCCUCGUGUAUUAUGAACAGCUUACUAAGACAAUAAAUAUUUGUAUACCAGAAUUAACAUCCAUAAACAGAGUUGCAGUUCAAAAGUAGUCAUGUGUUUAUUUGCUUAUGAAUUAUCAAAUUGCUUUUUGGAAAGCUUGUACGAAUUUAUUCUCCCAUCGACUGUGUGACAAUCCAGUUUCCCUGUAUUUUCACCAACACUACAUUAUCUUUUAUUUUGCUGUUUUAUUGACCCCAAAUAUUUUAUUAUGGUUCUGAUUUGCACUGGUUGCUUGAGAGGAUUAUCAUUGUUUUUUUUUCCAUCUUCACAUGUGUUAACCUGUGUAUAUCUUUUAUUCAGAAUCUCUUUUGAAGAGUUUAUCUAUUUGUAAAACCCUCCAUUUUGUCUUCUUUUAUUUAUUUUUUGUAAAACUUUCUUUAAAAAAUAUUUUUUUGAUGUUUAUUUUUGAGAGGGAGAGACAAAACAUGAGCUAGGAGGGGCAGAGAGAGAGAGGGAGACACAGAAUCUGAAGCGGGCUCCAGGCUCUGAGCUGUCAGCACAGAGCCCAAUGCAGGGCUUGAACUCACGAAAUGCGAGUUCGUGACCUGAGCUGAAGUUGGAUGCGCUUAACCGACUGAGCCACCCAGACGCCCCUGUUUCUUUCUCUUUCUUUCUUUUUUAAAGUUUAUUUAUGCGUCUUAGAGAGAGCAAGCAGCGGAGGCGCAGAGAGAGAGACAGAGAAAGAGAAUCCCAAGCAGGCUCCACACUGUCAGCGCAGAGCCGGAUGUGUGGCUCGAACCCACCAAUCACGAGAUCAGGACCUGAGCCGAAAUCAAGAACCAGACGCUUAACUGACUGAGCCACCCAGGCACCCCAACACUCUGUUUCCGAAAUACAGGAUAUUUCUAGUGUGCGAGCCCGAAUGAGCAUUUAUCUCACGCUGGAGAAAGAGGUGGGAUCAGUUGCUGCAUAGAAUAAAGCUCCUGGUAGGGCACAGACAGGCUGCUGGUGUGUGGAUGUGUGGCCUAAAACUGUGAGCUCAGCGGCCACAGAGCUGGUUUCUGAAUGGCACGUACCUGGAGGCCAGCCUGUGUGAAAUUCCACUGUUCUCUUCACAGCGCUUCCUUGGGUCUGGAGUCUCUCUGAUCUAUUCUGCCUUUACCCUGCUGAGGACAGAUCACCUUGAGCAAAGUGCAACA